CCCGCACCAUGGAGGCGGCCCCCGGCUGCGGCGCCUGAAUCGUGGCCUCCCCGGAGGUUGGAGGAGGAGAAAGAAAACCCACAAAACUCCCCAAAUGGGAGGCAGCUUGGCCGGGCAGGAGGAGGAGCGGGGCGGGCCGGGGCGUCGCUGCGGGACCUCAUCCAAGGGCGCGCGCUCUGCCCCGUCCCCGCGGCCUCCCGAGGGCUGCAGGGUGGGCCAGGCCCCCCGGAGCUGCCUGUCCUAGGCCGCGGGGGCACCCCGGGUCCACAUGGGCCCAAAGCUCCCUUCCAGUGCCAGGACGGGCGAGGAGGUGGGAGCUGGGGCUGCGCUCGACGCCUCUCCGGGCCGCUCAGGACGGCCCCGAGGGCAGGGAGAAGCCGCCGGGGCGGUCGGGCUGGACGAGCGAGUUUAGGGGCCAACCUUCUCCACCCGGAGCCGCGCCGGAGAGCGGUGCUCCCGGGGCUGAGAUCCGGGCGUCGGGGGCUCUGCCGCAGCUCCGCUGGGAGGGAGGGGGCGGGGGUAGUGAAAAUCGAGAAGUUCGUCUCUCUUCAAAGUCGCUCGACUUGGCAGCGGAGGCCAGGCUGGAGCCAAAGGCCUCGGAGAGCAGGGCGGCUGGGCUGGAGCACCCCAGUGGCGGCCUUCUGCCCCACCGCUCGAAGCCCCCAAGGCGGGCUCCCGAGCACGCACACUUGCUCGCAGCGCGCCUGGGGGUCUGGGGGCGCCGGGACCGCGCCUCGCUACGCGCACGCGGACCGGGCUCGAGGGGGCGGGACGGCCUUCCCCACGCGCCCCCCUCCAACCCUCGGCGCCAGUACUCCCGCUCCCACCCUCGGCCCCCUGGCCCAGGACGCUGGCCCCCGCCGCCCCGCUUACACGCGCCCUUGGCGGGGCCCCUUUGAGCGCCCCAGGGCUGGUGGCGGCCCGGGUGUCUCUGGGAACGGAGAGAAAGGCCGCAAAGCAAAAGAAGGAGCAGAGAGAAGAAGGCUAAGGAGGCGCAGAGGCCAGGGUCCUGCGGACUCGCCUGGAAGUGGGGUUGGGGGGGCCACUGAGAGCGCUGGAAAGGGUCCGGGGGUCGCGCGCGGCUUUCAGGCUCACCCCCCGCUCGCGGCUCCCCUCCCCUCCCCUUCCCAGGCUCCCGGCGCCCCCUGGGUGCAGCUCCUUUCUCCUCCCCUCGGGCCCUCUCGGCUCCGGCGCGGGGAUCAGUCCCGGGAUUAA
rnacentral:lncRNA from 1 species